rnacentral:rRNA from 1 species
GACAGAGGGUGCAAACGUUGCUCGGAAUUACUGGGCGUAAAGCGCGUGUAGGUGGAUUGGUGUGUCAGAUGUGAAAUCCCUGGGCUCAACCCAGGAACUGCACCUGAAACUACCAGUCUUGAGUGGUGGAGAGGGAAGUGGAAUUCCAGGUGUAGCGGUGAAAUGCGUAGAUAUCUGGAGGAACACCGGUGGCGAAGGCGGCAUCCUGGACCGGCAGUGACGCUGAGGCGCGAAAGCGUGGGGAGCAAACAGG